rnacentral:rRNA from 2 species
GGGAUUGCCCUAGUAACGGCGAGUGAAGCGGCAACAGCUCAAAUUUGAAAUCUGGCUCUUUUAGGGUCCGAGUUGUAAUUUGCAGAGGGUGCUUUGGUGUUGGCAGCGGUCCAAGUUCUUUGGAACAGGACGUCACAGAGGGUGAGAAUCCCGUACGUGGUCGCUAGCCCUCGCCGUGUAAAGCCCCUUCGACGAGUCGAGUUGUUUGGGAAUGCAGCUCUAAAUGGGAGGUAAAUUUCUUCUAAAGCUAAAUACUGGCCAGAGACCGAUAGCGCACAAGUAGAGUGAUCGAAAGAUGAAAAGCACUUUGGAAAGAGAGUCAAAUAGCACGUGAAAUUGUUGAAAGGGAAGCGCUUGCAGCCAGACUUGCCUGUAGUUGCUUAUCCGGACUUUUGUCCGGUGCACUCUUCUGCGGGCAGGCCAGCAUCAGUUUAGGCGGUUGGAUAAAGGUCUCUGUCAUGUACCUCUCUUCGGGGAGGCCUUAUAGGGGAGACGACAUGCAACCAGCCUGGACUGAGGUCCGCGCAUCUGCUAGGAUGCUGGCGUAAUGGCUGUAAGCGGCCCGUCUUGAAACACGGACCAAGGAGUCUAACAUCUAUGCGAGUGUUUGGGUGUCAAGCCCAGACGCGUAAUGAAAGUGAACGGAGGUGGGAACCCUUACGGGUGCACCAUCGACCGAUCCUGAUGUCUUCGGAUGGAUUUGAGUAAGAGCAUGGCUGUUGGGACCCGAAAGAUGGUGAACUAUGCUUGAAUAGGGUGAAGCCAGAGGAAACUCUGGUGGAGGCUCGCAGCGGUUCUGACGUGCAAAUCGAUCGUCAAAUUUGGGCAUAGGGGCG